AUGCAGAUGUUUGUUACCAAACGGAUGUAUGCAGACUUCAUCACUUGGACUCCUCAGACCUGCCUGAUAUUCAGAGUACAAAGAGAUGAGGACUUCAUCAGUGGUGCCAUUAAUGUGAUGCAAACAUUUUGGUCACAACACAUACUACACAAACUUCGGGAGCUGAAAGAUGCACAGUCUCUUCACCAGGCGCAGAGGAAGUGGGCCAUCCAGAAUGUGGUACCGGCUCUUCAGGGCCCCAAUGACUCUCUCUGCAGACCACAGAUCGCAACAUCUUCGGCUGACAAUUGUUUUCGGCCCCUCGUGAAAGACGGUGUGAUGAGCUGUGCACCCAGAACAGCAAAGUCAUCCUUCAAAGUGAAGCCCCUGUCGGCUAAAAUCUGAAAUAAACAUCACAAAUACUUAAAAA